GUUACCAUAGUUCAGUGGUAGAACAGCCCGCUCAAAGAUUCUCCUAAUCCGAUUGUCCGACGGCGGGAGGACGUGGGUUCGAUUCCCGCUGGUGUGA